rnacentral:rRNA from 1 species
GGGCCCGCACAAGCGGUGGAGCAUGUGGUUUAAUUCGACGCAACGCGAAGAACCUUACCUACACUUGACAUCCUCGGAACUUUCUAGAGAUAGAUUGGUGCCUUCGGGAACCGAGUGACAGGUGCUGCAUGGCUGUCGUCAGCUCGUGUCGUGAGAUGUUGGGUUAAGUCCCGUAACGAGCGCAACCCUUAUCCUUAAUUGCCAGCGGUUAGGCCGGGAACUCUAAGGAGACUGCCGAUGACAAAUCGGAGGAAGGUGGGGACGACGUCAAGUCAUCAUGGCCCUUACGUGUAGGGCUACACACGUGCUACAAUGGCCGGUACAAACGGUUGCGAACCCGCGAGGGGAAGCUAAUCCGAGAAAGCCUAUCCCAGUUCGGAUUGGAGUCUGCAACUCGACUCCAUG